ensembl:lncRNA
CAAAGAAAGCAGAGAGGGAGAGUGGAGAUAUCACGUCUAACAAUUAAGACCUGCCUUCGGGGUCUAAAGAAGAAGCUUUGUUGAGGACAUAUAAAUUGCUCAUUGAGCAGCGCCUCACUGCAGACUCCUUCAGAUACUCCUGCCUCAAAGGAAUAUGCCAUGAAAGACAACAGCAGCAGCAGCCGACCACAUAGCAGGGCUGGAAUCUGUUCACCGUAUUUGGGGAUCCAUCACCAGCCCUCAUCCUGGCCAAGCAAAUAUCCCCCCUACAGUAAACACAACCCUGGAUUUAAUCCAGGUGACUAAGGAAACAUCACCGCGCAUCCACUGGAGAUCCUUUGUAGUACCUCUGCUUUGCAGGGCCAAAGAAGCAGCUCACAUAACAUUUACUUAUUUUUGUCGUAGAGACAAAGUGGAUGAUCCUCGUGGUCCUCUGACUCAGGUUGUGGAUGGCGCUACUGCCAGCUAUAAUGUUUAGAGUCAAAGGUUUAUAAAUAAAAUAAAAGUCCACAGUUCAUCUUGAAAGUAUUGACAAUUUGAAAAACAUUUGCUUGAAAUUGUUGCAAAUGUAUUUAAAAAUUAAAAACAAAAAUAUAUCAUGUUUGUAGGUACAGUCUGAGUGCUCUGGAGCAGGAUGUCUCUGUACAUUCCUGCAUUCAUCUUUCCCUUGAUCCCAGCUAGUGUCCCACUGCCAAAAACAUCCCCCAGCACGAUGCUGCCACCACCAUGCUUCACUGUAGGGACAGUAUUGGCCAGGUGAUGAGCGGUACCUGGUUUCCUCCAGACGUGACACUUUGCAUUCAGGCCAAGGAGCUCAAUCAUUGUUUAAUCAGAUUGGUGAUUUUUUUUUUCCUCAUGGUCUGAGAGUCCCUCAGGUGCCUUUUGACAAACUCCAGCUGGGCUGUCAUGUGCCUUUUACUGAGGAGUGGCUUCAGUCUGGCCACUACCAUGCAACCCUGAUUGUUGGAGAGCUGCAGAAGUGCUUUUCCUUCUGGAAGGUUCUCCUCUCUCCCCAGAGCAACACUGUAGUUCUGUCAGACUGAAAACUGGGUGGUUGGUCACUUGCUUCAAUAAGAAGGUAGACAUUCCAAACUUCUUCCAUUUACGGAUGAUGUGCUUCGAUACAAUCCUGUCUCGGAGGUCUACAGACCAGAGUUCUUUGGACUUCACGGUUUGGUGCUCUGACAUACACUGUCAACUACAGCUGAUGUAGGCAGGUGGCCUUUCCAAAUCAUGCCCAAUAGACUGAUUUACCACAGAUGGGCUCCACUCAAGUUGUAGAAGCAGAUGACGGAUGAUCACUGGAAACAAGAUAUACCCGAGUUAAAUUUUAGUGUCAUGGAAAAGGCUGUGAAUACUUUUGUACAUGUUUUUGUUUUAUUUUUAAUAAAGUUGAUGAAUUUCAAGAAAA